AAUCAACGCUGGCGGCGUGCCUCAGACAUGCAAGUCGAACGAUUAAAGCUCUCUUCGGAGAGUGUAUAGAGUGGCGCACGGGUGAGUAACACGUAAGUAAUCUACCCUCGAGUGGGGGAAUAACAACCGGAAACGGUUGCUAAUACCGCAUAAUGCAGCGGCACCGCAAGGUGACAGUUGUUAAAGAUUUAUCGCUUGAGGAGGAGCUUGCGGCAGAUUAGCUAGUUGGUAGGGUAACGGCUUACCAAGGCUACGAUCUGUAACCGGUCUAAGAGGACGGUCGGUCACACUGACACUGAAUAACGGGUCAGACUCCUACGGGAGGCAGCAGUCGGGAAUUUUGGGCAAUGGGCGAAAGCCUGACCCAGCAACGACCGCGUGAAGGAUGAAGUAUUUCGGUAUGUAAACUUCG
rnacentral:rRNA from 1 species